ensembl:lncRNA
GAGUGAUUUAACUUGUACACACUGGGUGCAUAAUAAUGUAAAGGUACACUGAAUAGUAUUAAUGACCAACAGCAACAAACGGAUCUCCUCAAGGUAAGUCUGUUGGCUGUGUUUUAAUAAAGACCAUCGCUGGACUUCAGGAUCUUCCUCCGUUCAGCUCAAGGUGAGGCGCUGGUUCUGUUUUUUCUUUGGUUGGUUCCGGCCGGAAUGUUCGGAUUCCAGUCGGACGGUUUGUGCUUCCCGCCGUGGAAGGUUCUGAGUGCGUUCACUUGAUUUAGUCUCAAUGGUUAGCAUAGAACGUUGUAGUCUUGACAACCAUAAGAACCCACGUGGCUGUUAGUUGGACGUGAAUCCCCUGAAGGUAUCUGGCGGAACGUUCUGGAUUGUAUUUGCGUAUCUUCGAGCCGUUGCCAACAAACUAUUUUUCAGUCGGUUUCCAUCAGGAAUUGUUGCCCUUAUCUUAAACUACUUAAGUUUGAUAUUAAAUACUCACUGACGCGUGCAUCGUACAAUAUGUUGAUAAUUUCCGACUGUUGCGCCGACUUUAACCACGUUCACGGGACUCUCGCUGCGUUCGAAACAGCGUUCUACUUGCGGGCCCAUUUCUGAUCAUCAGUGAAGGCUGAAGAUCAUUUCAAGGUGGAAGACAAUUUGGCAUUUCUUCGACGGAACCCUGCACCUGAAUAUGGCUGAGUAUAUUUGAUUUAAUAUCGAUACUGCUUAGUGUUCUUUGUUACUUCAGCUUUCAUACGUUCUAAAUAUCUGGUGUCAAUAAUUGAAGUAAAACCCUACCCAAUGGAAUGACGUUAAACAACGACUUUGGUGCUUAGUUACCAACUGGAUAAUAACAAAGCUAAAAUAAUGGCCGUCUUUCCCACAUGUUACAGUAGAAGAAACUCUAGAACUGUACAAGGUUAAAAAGGUAACAUGUAGUUUGUCCCAAGGUGUCUGCCUCCUCACCCAGAGCCAGACCUCCACCUCCUCACCCAGAGCCAGACCUCCACUCACCCAGAGCCAGACCUCCACCACCUCCUCACCCAGAGCCAGACCUCCACCUCCUCACCCAGAGCCAGACCUCCACCUCCUCACCCAGAGCCAGACCUCCACCUCCUCACCCAGAGCCAGACCUCACCCAGAGCCAGACCUCCACCUCCUCACCCAGAGCCAGACCUCCACCUCCUGUCAGAAGUCCUCCAGAACAGCUGAAAGGCGAGGCUGAGAGGCUGGGGACCGGCUUGUGGUGCCAGGAUGGACCGGAGACUGAGGCUGGAGACCAGGGGCCUGCAGCACCGGACCAGAGGGUAACCAUCACCAAGCUCAUCUGAAACACUAAAAUCCACGGUAGUUUAGGUCUGGUUUUGAUCAUCUUAAGACUUUAAAUCUGUGCCACGCUGUGAUUUGAGUUAAUUCAUACCGGGGUUAUGUAGGAGUCAUAUGAGCCAUUAUUGUUAGAGUGCUGCUACGACCGUAGUGGAUGAAUUGCUGAAUGGGUCAAUCUGUAGACGUUGUCUAAUUCAAGUGUUUAAAUAUGUUUAUAUUCGUCUUCCAUUUUACAAGUGAACCUCAGAUGCAGGAGGUGGGGUGUGUUGCGUCUCCAGGUGAUUUACUGCUGAGACCAACUGUUUGUAACCAGACCAGGAAUCCAUGGCUGAAGGGGCUGGUGGAGGAGCC